CCUCUCCCUAUAUACCAGUAGUCUCGGCGAAAACACAACCAAAGAGCAACAAAAACUAUUGCAACAUCUACAUGGAGAAGUGCACGAAGCGCCUCCAGCCAUUAGCGCUCCUUCUUCUCGUAUGCUUCGCUACUCAUGCACAAUGCAGUGGCACAGAGUCUGGUGACGCCGAGGCUUUUGCGUGCUACAAGCUUGAUGUUUUCCCAUCCUGCAAUCCAAAGACAAGUCGAUGCUACUGUUGUACAAUGGAUCAGUGCAAAACCCGCUAUGGCACAAUGGAUGAGUGCCAAGCUCACUGUGUAGCUUCGCCUUUGGGUGUAAAUGAGUCAGCGGCGCCCUUCUCCUCCUAUGUACUUCCAUGAAAGUGAAUGGAGUAUUAUGUUUGUUUCCUUGGGAAAAAAAGGUUGGAGCCCAACUUUUUAUAGAAAUCUUUAAUAUGA